UACGUAGGGGGCAAGCGUUGUCCGGAUUUAUUGGGCGUAAAGAGCGUGUAGGCGGUUUGGUAGGUCCGCUGUGAAAACUCGAGCUCAACCUCGAGACGCCGGUGGAAACCAUCCAGACUAGAGUCCGGAAGAGGAGAGUGGAAUUCCGUGGUGUAGCGGUGAAAUGCGCAGAUAUCAGGAAGAACACCCGUGGCUAAGGCGGCUCUCUAGUACGGUACUGACGCUGAGACGCGAAAGCGUGGGGAGCGAACAGG
rnacentral:rRNA from 1 species